rnacentral:rRNA from 1 species
UACGGGGGGAGCAAGCGUUGUUCGGAUUUACUGGGCGUAAAGGGCGUGUAGGCGGUCAAGUAAGUGGAAUGUGAAACGCCUCGGCUUACCCGAGGACCUGCAUCCCAAACUGCUUGGCUUGAGUAUGGGAGAGGAUGAGGGAAUUCCUGGUGUAGCGGUGAAAUGCGUAGAUAUCAGGAGGAACACCGGCGGCGAAGGCGGCAUCCUGGACCAACACUGACACUGAGGAGCGAAAGCCAGGGGAGCAAACGGG